rnacentral:lncRNA from 1 species
UGCUGUAUGAAGGAGCAGUACAAAACGCUGUUCGAUCGUAGGAGGCGCUGGACGUCCUGCAUCGUUCUGGGCAAGAGGCAGCCUCUGACAGGCAAAACGGAGAAAACUGUCACAUCGGGCUCAAAUGGCCCUAGAUCCCUUAACUUAUCAGCAUAUGUAGCAAUUCGUAAAGGAUCACAAAAUGCUGAGCUUUGAUUUUUGUGCAG